rnacentral:rRNA from 1 species
UGGUGUCAGCCGCCGCGGUAAAACCAGCACCUCAAGUGGUCAGGAUGAUUAUUGGGCCUAAAGCAUCCGUAGCCGGCUCUGUAAGUUUUCGGUUAAAUCUGUACGCUCAACGUACAGGCUGCCGGGAAUACUGCAAAGCUAGGGAGUGGGAGAAGUAGACGGUACUCGGUAGGAAGUGGUAAAAUGCUUUGAUCUAUCGAUGACCACCUGUGGCGAAGGCGGUCUACUAGAACACGUCCGACGGUGAGGGAUGAAAGCUGGGGGAGCAAACCGGAUUAGAUACCCGGGUAGUCCCAGCUGUAAACUAUGCAAACUCAGUGAUGCAUUGGCUUGUGGCCAAUGCAGUGCUGCAGGGAAGCCGUUAAGUUUGCCGCCUGGGAAGUACGUACGCAAGUAUGAAACUUAAAGGAAUUGGCGGGGGAGCACCACAAGGGGUGAAGCCUGCGGUUC